CAAGCGUUGUUCGGAAUUACUGGGCGUAAAGGGCGCGUAGGUGGCCAACUAAGUCAGACGUGAAAUCCCUCGGCUUAACCGGGGAACUGCGUCUGAUACUGGAUGGCUUGAGUUUGGGAGAGGGACGCGGAAUUCCAGGUGUAGCGGUGAAAUGCGUAGAUAUCUGGAGGAACACCGGUGGCGAAGGCGGCGUCCUGGACCAAUACUGACACUGAAACGCGAAAGCCAGGGGAGCAAACGGG
rnacentral:rRNA from 1 species